CACAUAGUUAGCCGGUGCUUCUUCUGUAGGUACCGUCACUUUCGCUUCUUCCCUACUGAAAGCGGUUUACAACCCGAAGGCCUUCAUCCCGCACGCGGCGUCGCUGGGUCAGAGUUUCCUCCAUUGCCCAAUAUUCCCCA
rnacentral:rRNA from 1 species